UGGUUAUGUACGGCUAAGCAUUGAGGCAGUCUAAAUAGGCAAAUCCGUUUAGACAAUGCUAGGAUGUGAUGGGGAAGCCCUUCGGGGCGAAGUAGCUGAUUUCACACUGUCAAGAAAAGCUUCUAUCGAGUUUAAAGGCGCCCGUACCGUAAACCGACACAGGUGGGUGAGGAGAGCAUCCUAAGGCCAGCGAGAGAACUAUUGUUAAGGAACUCGGCAAAAUGACCCCGUAACUUAGGGAGAAGGGGUGCCUGUCUAUGACAGGCCGCAGAGAAUAGGCCCAAGCGACUGUUUACCAGAAACACAGGUUUCUGCUAAGUCGCAAGACGAUGUAUAGGAGCUGACGCCUGCCCGGUGCUGGAAGGUUAAGGGGAUCUGUUAGAGCAAUCGAAGCAGUGAACUUAAGCCCCAGUAAACGGCGGCCGUAACGAUAACGGUCCUAAGGUAGCGAAAUUCCUUGUCGGGUAAGUUCCGACCCGCACGAAAGGCGUAACGAUUUGGGCACUGUCUCAACAAUAGACUCGGUGAAAUUGUAAUCCCGGUGAAGAUGCCGGGUACCUGCGACAGGACGGAAAGACCCCAUGGAGCUUUACUGUAGCUUGACGUUGGGUCUUGGUACUACAUGUACAGGAUAGGUGGGAGACUAUGAAGCAUGGACGCCAUCUGUGUGGAGUCAUCCUUGGGAUACCACCCUUGUAGUACUGGGAUCCUAACCAUAGGCCUUGAAUCAGGUCUUGGAACACCGUCAGGUGGGCAGUUUGACUGGGGCGGUCGCCUCCUAAAAAGUAACGGAGGCGCUCAAAGGUUUCCUCAGCACGGUCGGAAAUCGUGCGAAGAGUGUAAAGGCAAAAGGAAGCUUGAUUGCAAGACAUACAGGUCGAGCAAGGACGAAAGUCGGACUUAGUGAUCCGGUGGUACCGCAUGGAAGGGCCAUCGCUCAACGGAUAAAAGCUACCCUGGGGAUAACAGGCUUAUCUCCCCCAAGAGUCCACAUCGACGGGGAGGUUUGGCACCUCGAUGUCGGCUCAUCACAUCCUGGGGCUGUAGUAGGUCCCAAGGGUUGGGCUGUUCGCCCAUUAAAGUGGUACGCGAGCUGGGUUCAGAACGUCGUGAGACAGUUCGGUCCCUAUCCGUCGCAGGCGUAGGAAAUUUGAGAAGACCUGUCCUUAGUACGAGAGGACCGGGAUGGACGUACCUCUGGUGUACCAGUUGUUCUGCCAAGGGCAUGGCUGGGUAGCUAUGUACGGAAUGGAUAAGCGCUGAAAGCAUCUAAGCGCGAAGCCAACUUCAAGAUAAGAUUUCCCACCGUAAGGGUAAGACCCCAGGAAGACUACCUGGUUGAUAGGUCGAAGGUGUAAGUGCAGUAAUGUAUUUAGCUUAUCGAUACUAAUAGGUCGAGGACUUGACCGA
rnacentral:rRNA from 1 species